rnacentral:lncRNA from 1 species
ACCAAAAAAACAAAAAAACAGGACAUCCCAGUGUGCAGUUCGCAGUCCGCUUUGGUUGUCCACUUCCUCUGCAUCCUUUUCCUCAUCAUCUCAGCAAAUGUAGGUGAUGAGCCGCCCGACAGCCACCGCACUAAACUGGAAGAAGUGUAGAUUUGAUUUCCCCGGGCAAGCAGCUUUGCAAACUUGCAAGCGAAUACCAGGUAAGUUUGUCAACUUCUGAGA